UACGUAGGCAGCGAGCGUUGUUCGGAGUUACUGGGCGUAAAGCGUGCGUAGGCGGUGUCUUAAGUUUGUUGUUAAAUCUCCCGGCUCAACUGGGAGGGUGCGGCGAAUACUGAGAUGCUGGAGUGCGGGAGAGGUAAGCGGAAUUCCUGGUGUAGCGGUGAAAUGCGUAGAUAUCAGGAGGAACACCUGCGGUGUAGACGGCUUACUGGACCGUAACUGACGCUGAGGCACGAAAGCGUGGGUAGCAAACAGG
rnacentral:rRNA from 1 species